UUAUUUUAGCAUGGAAUAAUGGAAUAGGACGUCGCGGUUCUAUUUUGUUGGUUUCUAGGACCGCCGUAAUGAUUAAUAGGGACAGUCGGGGGCAUCAGUAUUCAAUCGUCAGAGGUGAAAUUCUUGGAUCGAUUGAAGACUAACUACUGCGAAAGCAUUUGCCAAGGAUGUUUUCAUUAAUCAGGAACGAAAGUUAGGGGAUCGAAAACGAUCAGAUACCGUUGUAGUCUUAACCAUAAACUAUGCCGACUAGGGAUCGGGCGGUGUUAUUUCUUGACCCGCUCGGCACCUUACACGAAAGUAAAGUUUUUGGGUUCUGGGGGGAGUAUGGUCGCAAGGCUGAAACUUAAAGAAAUUGACGGAAGGGCACCACAAGGGGUGGAGCGUGCGGCUUAAUUUGACUCAACACGGGGAAACUCACCAGGUCCAGACCCAACUAGGAUUGACAGAUUGAGAGCUCUUUCUUGAUUUUGUGGGUGGUGGUGCAUGGCCGUUCUUAGUUGGUGGAGUGAUUNGUCUGCUUAAUUGCGAUAACGAACGAGACCUUAACCUGCUAAAUAGCCCGUGCCGCUUCGGCGGCACGCCGGCUUCUUAGAGGGACAAUCGGCUCAAGCCGAUGGAAGUUUGAGGCAAUAACAGGUCUGUGAUGCCAUUAGAUGUUCUGGGCCGCACGCGCGCUCCACUGACAGAGCCAGCGAGUUCCUACCCUUUGGGCCCCCGGU
rnacentral:rRNA from 1 species